rnacentral:rRNA from 1 species
AGCGAACGCUGGCGGCAGGCCUAACACAUGCAAGUCGAACGAAGUCUUCGGACUUAGUGGCGGACGGGUGAGUAACACGUGGGAACGUACCUUUUGGUUCGGAACAACUCAGGGAAACUUGAGCUAAUACCGGAUGAGCCCUUAGGGGGAAAGAUUUAUCGCCGAAAGAGCGGCCCGCGUUAGAUUAGCUAGUUGGUGAGGUAAAGGCUCACCAAGGCUACGAUCUAUAGCUGGUCUGAGAGGAUGAUCAGCCACACUGGGACUGAGACACGGCCCAGACUCCUACGGGAGGCAGCAGUGGGGAAUCUUGCGCAAUGGGCGUAAGCCUGACGCAGCCAUGCCGCGUGAAUGAUGAAGGUCUUAGGAUUGUAAAAUUCCUUUACCAGGGACGAUAAUGACGGUACCUGGAGAAAAAGCCCCGGCUAACUUCGUGCCAGCCGCCGCCGUAAAAC